CCUACGGGAGACAGCAGUGGGGAAUAUUGCGCAAUGGGCGAAAGCCUGACGCAGCGACGCCGCGUGAGGGAUGAAGGUCUUCGGAUCGUAAACCUCUGUCAGCAGGGAAGAACGGUCACUGUGCUAAUCAGCAGUGAAUUGACGGUACCUGCAAAGGAAGCACCGGUGAACUCCGUGCAAGCAGCCGCGGUAAUACGGAGGGUGCGAGCGUUGAUCGGAAUUACUGGGCGUAAAGCGCUCGUAGGCGGUAUGUCAAGUCAAGGGUGAAAUCCCCGCGCUCAACGUGGGAACUGCCUUUGAAACUGGCAAACUUGAGUAUAUGAGAGGAUAGUGGAAUUCGAGGUGUAGGGGUGAAAUCCGUAGAUAUCUGGAGGGAC
rnacentral:rRNA from 1 species